GUUUCUGUGGUGUAGCAGUGAUCACGUUCGCCUAACACGCGAAAGGUCCCCAGAUCAAAGCCGGGCAGAAACA